rnacentral:lncRNA from 1 species
AUUAAAGUACUAGCUAGCUGAAGGAAUGUGUUGAAAAAAUUUACCUGAUUAUCAUCAAUAAUUUGGUGAUGGUUAUCUUCUUCAUAGUAGAGUGUAUUUAGUUGCUCUCCAGCUUUAUUGGACUGGAAACGUUCUGCCCGGAAAACGGCGGCAGACUUACCGGAAAAUGCCGCCGUCGACAAUGUAAAACCACCGCCGGCUGCAGUUGUAAAUGAUGAAGUUUUGGCAUGGUGGGAGAAUAUAUUUGAACUUGUUUGGUUUAGGAGUGAUAAGAAAUGAAACCUUGUGCUUAGAAGGAAAUGGUUAAAGUUUCUUGAUCUUGAUAUCAAAAUCGCCAUAUAUUUUGAUGGAGAGAUUGAAGAUAAUGUUAAAUGGAUUUGAUGUUGAGUUCAACGUGGAAAUCGAUAAUAUAGAAAGAUGGUUUGUUGGUUUAUCUUUUGGGUAU